AAAGGAAGGCAAAAGCCCAACUUGACCUCAGACUGGCCACCGCAGUAAGAAAUAAGAAAUCCUUUUGUAAACUUAUCAGUGGUAAGAGAAGAACCAAGGAGAAUUUCCACCCUUCUCUUGAUGCAACGGGGAAUGUGACCACUGAGGAUAAGCAGAAGGCUGAGGUCCUCAAUGCCUUCUUUACACCUGCCUGUAAAAGGCAGAUCAGUUAUCAUCAGGGCACUUUAUGCCCCAAUCUGCACGUGUGUGUGUUUGCAAGGCUUUGUCCCCAGCAGAAAUAGCACUUUUGCUGGGAGCUGUUUUGCUGCAGGACCAAACAUCUUGCAGGACUGGUGAUGUUUACUAGAUACGCUUCCUAAAGAAUAAGCAUAGGCCAGAAUUUUAGAGGGUAAGAAUUGCAGAAGAAGCAUGGCCGAUAAACGGAAGCUUUGUAGGUGAUUGAGGUCUCAGGAUGAAAUAAGCAUUAAAAAGAAACUAGGGAUGACUUUUUUUUACUCAGAAGGUGGUGAGGUACUGGAACAGGCUGCCUGGAGAAGCUCUGGAUGCCUCUGGUCCUGAUCAUCCUGAUCUAAUGGGUGGCCCAUAGCAAGGGGAUUGGAACUGAAUGGUCUUUAAGUUCCUUUCCAAUUCGAGCCAUUCUAUGAUUCUAUUAUGUUCAGUGUCAGAAUUCAUGCAGUUAGUACUUGCCUAUGUGAAAACAGAGUCUGCACCCUUUCAACAGAGAAGAGAUCUUUUUGUCUGAGAACUAGUGGAAUUAGGGGGAUAGGGGAUAAUUUUAAAAAAUCAUGUUUGAAAUCAUACUUUGGGACACUCCUCACUUUGCCCUCACUUUCUAGAGCAUUUCUGAGCAAAUUGAGUACUUCUCUUCCAUUUCUGCUGCUGCUUUCAAUAAGUCAGGAAGCCAGCACUCUCUUUCCUUGCAAGGGAGGGAUGUAGGACUGACUCAGUUUCUGUGCAGGACACUGAGAAUGAAGAUGCUCUGUAGAUGAUCAUUAGUAAUGUAAGACUGUCCUUUUCCUGGCAAAGCCAUUGGCACUGAGUCUGCUAGGAGUGAAGCAGCACUGUAAUGCCAGGCAGAGCUCCCAUUCCCUUCUUCCCUCCCCACCAUCAUGUGCUCCUCAACAAAUUUUCCACUGUUUACUUAGAAAUCCGUAAAACAAAAGACUGAGGCUGAAGAAGCUCCACCUGGGGAAGUCAAGGUCGAGGAAACCCCUGCUGCUGCUGUUGUGGGAAAGGAGGCCAUCCCUGCUGAGCCAGAUGAGCCAACAGAGAAGGCUGCGGCACCCACUGCAUGUACAGCUGAGUAUGGACCUGGAGGAAAGUGAUUCUGCACAAACUGAUGAGCUUUGUGACCCACCUCUUUGAACAAUCCCCUUACGUGUGUUUCAGCCCAAUGUGUGUGGAAGAAGUGCUCCAGAAAGUUUUCCUGCAAACUGGUGGUGAGUGCUGCAGAUGGGACGGUGGAGUGGAAGACAGUGUGGUGGUGGCAGCAGGAGCUGGUGAGGGUGCUGCUCCCACGGAACAGGAGGCUGCUGCUAGAGGUGACAAACCUCAGGGAGAAGAAAAGGAGAUUGAUGUUUCCCAGG